UACGUAGUGUGCAAGCGUUGUCCGGAAUUAUUGGGCGUAAAGAGCUCGUAGGCGGUCUGUCGCGUCGGCUGUGAAAACUCGGGGCUCAACCCCGAGCCUGCAGUCGAUACGGGCAGACUAGAGUGCUGUAGGGGAGACUGGAAUUCCUGGUGUAGCGGUGAAAUGCGCAGAUAUCAGGAGGAACACCGGUGGCGAAGGCGGGUCUCUGGGCAGUAACUGACGCUGAGGAGCGAAAGCGUGGGGAGCGAACAGGAUUAGAAACCCGCGUAGUCC
rnacentral:rRNA from 1 species